AGCUUUGCACGGUGACGGUAUCAUAGCCAAUGAGGUUUACUACUAGUUGAAAAAUUUCCCCAAUACCCUGCCGUGAUGACUUGAAAUAUAGGCAGCAUUGGCAAUUUUUGACAGUCUCUAGGGA
rnacentral:snRNA from 1 species